rnacentral:lncRNA from 1 species
CUGCACAUUGACUUGAUACCGUGAAUCUGGAGAAAAGGAGUGCAGUAUGUUUUCCCACCUCUUGUUUCUGUCGCCGUGGCUUCACUGGCGAUGGGAAGAAUUGUUCUGACAUUGAUGAGUGCCAAACCCAAAAUGGAGGAUGCCACCCUGUUGCCAGGUGCUACAACAUGGCACCGAGGGCACUGGCUAUGAGUCCCAGGAUGUUGACGAGUGUCCCGACAACUCCACCCAGCCCCACAACUGCAGCUGCCUGACCCUUUCCAACAACACAAACGGUUCCUCUGUCGGUGCCAGGAGGGGUACAUGGGGGACGGGUUCGUCUGUGAGGAUGUGGAUGAAUGUCUCUCACCCUCUACCUGUGGGGGGGGGGAACAUGACGUGCCACAACACCCCCAGGAGGUACGACUGCACCUGCAUCCGGGGCCUAGCUUACGGAGCAGGCACGUGUGUGUCUGAGGAGGACUGCCUGAAUACCAGCAGUAUGUGGCACCCUCACGCAGCGUGCCUACCCCACCAAGGGCUCCUUCUACUGCCACUGCCAGGACAGUUUCCACGGCAACGUGGCGGCGUGCUGGGACGUGGACAAGUUUUGCCAAAUGGGGCGGGAGUACUGCCCGGAGUUCUCCUACUGCUUCAACACAGAGGGUUCCUAUACGUGCGACUGUUGGGGCGGGACACACUCCACGGGACACACUGCGUGGACGUGGACGAGUGUGAGGCGGGGAACUUCACCUGUCCAGACAACAGCACCUCUACCAACUCUGAGGGUAGCUACUGCUGCCCCUGUGACAUGGACUACCAGGCUAGUAACAACUCUCUGUGUCUAGAUAUUAACGAGAGUGCCGUGGGGCUGGCACAGUGCCCGAACACCUCCGAUUGCCAGAACACACCCGGCUCGUUUGUCUGUGACAGCUGGGAAGGCUACUAGGGCAAUGGCUCAGGCUGUGAGGACAUCAACGAAUUCCUGGACAAUUCCACUUGUCCUGAGAACAGCACCUGCGUCAACACCUAUGGCAGAUUCCUGUGUCCCUGUAAUGUAGGAUUCCUCAGCAUAAAUGAUCAGUGUGAGGAUGUCGAGGAGUGCUCAGGCCGCUCUGCACCAACGGAACGUGCAUGAACCCCAUUGGUUCAUUCUUCUGCUUGUGCUACAAGGGUUUAUGGAGCAAUGAUAUUGAGUGUGUGGACGUGGACGAGUGUUCUGAGGAGUAUUGCAACUCCUCUACCUCCGUCUCUGUCUGCCAGCCCUACUUGACCUGUCU